UCGAGAAUCUUCCGCAAUGGGCGAAAGCCUGACGGAGCGACACCGCAUGCAGGAUGAAGGCCUUCGGGUUGUAAACUGCUGUCAAGCUCUAGGAAACGCGGAUCGUUAAUAGCGAUCCGCCUGACUAAGGCGAGAGGAAGCACCGGCUAACCCUGUGCCAGCAGCCGCGGUAAGACAGGGGGUGCAAACGUUGUUCGGAAUCACUGGGCAUAAAGCGCACGUAGGCGGCCAACUAAGUCAGAUGUGAAAGCCCCCGGCUCAACCGGGGAACAGCACCUGAUACUGGUUGGCUCGAGGACGGUAGGGGUGAGUGGAACUCCAGGUGGAGCGGUGAAAUGCGUAGAUAUCUGGAGGAACACCGGUGGCGAAAGCGGCUCACUGGACCGUCUCUGACGCUGAGGUGCGAAAGCUAGGGGAGCAAACGG
rnacentral:rRNA from 1 species